GAGACACUCUUCUGGGGCAAGACUUGCUUCAGUGGGGCUUUGGUGUUCACUGAGUCUGCCCCCUGAGUGUGUCCUU
rnacentral:pre_miRNA from 1 species